UACGGAGGGUGCAAGCGUUAUCCGGAUUACUGGGUUUAAAGGGUGCGUAGGCGGGUUGGUAAGUCCGUGGUGAAAUCCCCAAGCUUAACUUGGGAACUGCCGUGGAUACUAUCAAUCUUGAAUAUCGUGGAGGUAAGCGGAAUAUGUCAUGUAGCGGUGAAAUGCUUAGAUAUGACAUAGAACACCAAUUGCGUAGGCAGCUUACUACACGAUCAUUGACGCUGAGGCACGAAAGCGUGGGGAGCAAACAGG
rnacentral:rRNA from 1 species